AUUGAACGCUGGCGGCAUGCCUUACACAUGCAAGUCGAACGGUAACAGGUUAAGCUGACGAGUGGCGAACGGGUGAGUAAUGUAUCGGAACGUGCCCAGUCGUGGGGGAUAACUACUCGAAAGAGUGGCUAAUACCGCAUACGACCUGAGGGUGAAAGGGGGGGAUCGCAAGACCUCUCGCUAUCAGAGUGGCCGAUGUCGGAUUAGCUAGUUGGUGGGGUAAAGGCCCACCAAGGCAACGAUCCGUAGCUGGUCUGAGAGGACGACCAGCCACACUGGGACUGAGACACGGCCCAGACUCCUACGGGAGGCAGCAGUGGGGAAUUUUGGACAAUGGACGCAAGUCUGAUCCAGCCAUGCCGCGUGCGGGAAGAAGGCCUUCGGGUUGUAAACCGCUUUUGUCAGGGAAGAAAUCUUCUGGGUUAAUACCUCGGGAGGAUGACGGUACCUGAAGAAUAAGCACCGGCUAACUACGUGCCAGCAGCCGCCGUAAAAC
rnacentral:rRNA from 1 species